rnacentral:rRNA from 1 species
AUACGUAGGUGGCGAGCGUUGUCCGGAAUUACUGGGCGUAAAGGAUGCGUAGGUGGAUACUUAAGUGGGAUGUGAAAUCCCCGGGCUCAACCCGGGAACUGCAUUCCAAACUGGGUAUCUAGAGUGCAGGAGAGGAAAGCGGAAUUCCUAGUGUAGCGGUGAAAUGCGUAGAUAUUAGGAGGAACACCAGUGGCGAAGGCGGCUUGCUGGACUGUAACUGACACUGAGGCAUGAAAGCGUGGGUAGCAAACAGGAUUAGAUACCCUGGUAGUCCAGGCAGUAAACGAUGUAUGCUGGGUGUGAGACUAGCGAUAGUUUCGUGCCGAAGUUAACGCGAUAAGCAUACCGCCUGGGGAGUACGGUCGCAAGAUUGAAACUCAAAUGAAUUGACGGG